rnacentral:rRNA from 1 species
GGACUACCCGGGUUUCUAAUCCUGUUUGCUCCCCUAGCUUUCGUUCCUCAGCGUCAGUAGUGGUCCAGCGCGCCGCCUUCGCCACGGGUGUUCCUGCAGAUAUCUACGCAUUUCACCGCUACACCUGCAAUUCCACGCGCCUCUCCCACACUCCAGCACAGCAGUUUCGGAAGCAGCCUCUGGGUUAAGCCCAGAGAUUUCACUCCCGACUUGCUACACCGCCUACGAACCCUUUACACCCAGUAAUUCCGAACAACGCUGGCCCCCUACGUCUUACCGCGGCUGCUGGCAC